UAUACAUGACAAUGCAUUUUUGAACUUUGCCUGUGUUUUCUUUUACUUAGCCUAUCUAUUUGAUUGUAUUGUAUAUUUAUUGUAUUUCUUCAUGUAUGAAAAGUGCUAUGUAAAUUAAGUUGCAUUGCCUUAAAUAAAAAAUUAUAUAUUACAAGUAAUCUGAUUUCUACCUACAUGGUGUGAUUAAACUGUAUGUGACUUGAUUUCGUCUAUUUCCCAUUAUGGUUAAUGAUUUGGGUACUUAGUCCACCAUUGUUGAUGUCUCACCUGAAUAGCCAAUCUCCAGAGCUAUGGCUUGCAAGGCAAUGUCCUUUUUGGAGUUGUAUUUGUAAUGACGGGAACUUUGGUCAUGCAAUUCGACAUAUUUUUCCUCUCAGGGGCGGCGACGCUAGGGAAUAGAAUAUUGGCUCGAAGACUAGUUGGGCGGGGCGGCGGGGAACGCUGCCGCGCGGCUAGUCGGCACCGGUGUGGGCUAGUACAUCCGGAAUAAUGGGGGCAGACUUUUUGACGCGCCGCUUCGGCACCGGUGUGUUUAGGCCUUAAAGGCUUGAUUCCACCGGAGGCGUACGCGCCGCGGCACGGCUGCGCCGCGGUCACCGCUGCUGAUCGCUUCCAAUCUAAUCAAUGCGCCGCGGCGCUAUCUUUCCGUCGCACUUCUAUUUUUGCCGCGAGCCGCUGCUAGACCGCGUCAAUUUCAACAGAGCAGAUCGAGCAGGGCAGGAAGUGAAAAAGUAAUAGCCAUAGAGCAUCCGGUCAAUUUUCAAAAUAAAACACAAUACUCAGCUCAUGUAACUUCACAUCAACAUUAUUACGUCAUGACCGGUGGCACCAGGUCAGCAGUAAAUCAAUCAAAGUGUCGGCAACAUGGACGACGAGAGACUCAUUGUCGAAUUUCAGCAACAUGAAGUCUUUUAUGUUCCAAAUCAUCCUUUUUAUAAGGAAAAUGUCAGAAAGGACAAAGCGUGGCAUUUAAUUGCAAUAGUUUUGGGAGUGGAAGGUGAAUACAUUAGGUUUAGGAUUAUCGCGUGAUCUCGUGAUCUCGCGUGAAUACGGCUGGCUCGCAAGGCAGCGCUACGCUGCCGUUACGCGCCCGGUAGGAAUGGACGCAGGACAGAGGACGCAGCCGUUCCGCGGCCCGUACGCGUCCGGUGGAAUCCCGGUGUAACGUGCACACACCGCAGCGACACUCGCCCAGCUAAGACGUUUGUCAACGGCGGAGAGGUUUGUCGACGGUGGAGCCGAUAUGUUUAAAAACAUAACAGUUCCGCUGUCGACAAACUCUCCCAGGUAAGACGUUCAGUCUAUAGACUAUAUAAAUUGCGAUAAAAUAAGGGAAGAGACAAUUUCUCACCUCGACAAGCAACGGCAGGUCUUUCAUUUUGUCAUAUAAAAACCUUUAAAUUCAAACAUCGUACCGACCGGCAUAUCAACAAACAAGUGCCGUGAUCUUAUAGAGACAUUGUCCCUAUAACACAAUGAAAACAAGUCAAUAACACAGUUGGCUAUGGUGAAUUAUGUCUAUAGAAUCCACCACAAGACUACACUUUACUCUCCUCCUUGAGCCUCCCGAAAUGUCUUCACACUUUGUUUCUCAAACUUAAUAUUACUCCCUUCCUUAAGCCUCCCGAUAUAUCUUGCGACUGUUUUAGUUGUUCUAUUUUUCUUAUGUUUUGUGUGUCUGCUAUGAGUAGGGAUGGGAAUCGAGAACCGGUUCUUGUUCAGAACCGGUGCCGAGGCUGUUUCCCAAUGUGAAGGCUGCAGCCUUGCUAGGAUGCGUCCUUGCUAGUCGCGUCCUAUGGAGAUGAGACUAGAGUGCUAGCUCGAGUGCUUCCUAGGGUUUUUAACGUUCAGACUUUUGAACGACUUGCUAGUGUGGAAGCGCUUCCGCUUUUUAAUACUGCGUUUCCGCUUGUAAACACAUGUGCGCUUAUGGAUAAAACAUGGCAGCAAUCUAGCUGAUCGAUAUUUAUUUGACUUUUGUCUGUUAUAAAUGCGGUCAUGUCUCCUUCGCAUGGAGCCUCUUUGAGGAAGUUACAAAAACUUUUUUUGCGGUUCAUCGAAUCGUCUUUAGAAAAAAAAAAAUCCACUAAAUUUUUAUAAAACUAAGUGAAAUUGUCUGAGAACUUAAUUCAUGCAUCACAUUUACAGUAUGGUUGAUUACUAUUAUGCAGGGGGAAAAAGACAAAGAAAGUGAUAAUAAACAUGUAUUUAUUUGGAUAUAUUAUUUAACUGAUCUGAUUCAUUCAUUCAUUUAUACCUACAAUCUACCAGUGCUUUGAACACAUAAGUAUAUUAUAUAAAAUACAAUUAUAUACGUUCAUUACAAAUUACAAACAUUGCAAAUGAUCGGUGGUGCAUUUAUUUGACAAUAUGUUUGUGCGCCACCCUAUGGUGCACAAAGGCCUCCGUUUGCUGGGCUGACCCUAAAAAAAAAGAUUAAACACAAACAUAAAUAGGUAGGCCUAUACAUAAACAAUGUAAUCUUGUGAGCGAGUAAAUUGACAUUGGUGACAGUGGUGUUUAACACCAGCUACGUCCAUGCAAAAUAUAGCAACGUGUAUCAUUAAGUUGCAAAAACGUUUGAAAAAUGGCACAGGUCUUUAAGCUUGAUUAUUUGCAUUAACAUGAUGAAUCUAUAAAAACCGAUACGGCACAAAAUAUUUCUGAAAACUUUAAUAUAACUUCACUUACAUUUGAACGUGCACUGCUUUCCCCCAUUUUCAAUAUCCCGUGCAGCGUGUGAACGCAGAGGAUUGUGGGUAGUUUUUGUCUCGUCUAGGAUGCAGCGAUGCAUCCUUGAAAAAUCUCGGAAUUCUCAGAAACAAAGUACGCGAAAAUGGCGCGGCUUUCGAGUGUCCUCAACAUUGGAACAGUGCUUGUCUGCGUUCUAUGACGUAGCGUCCUUAAAAGGGCGGCGGUUGAGCAUGCUUCCUUGACAUUGGUAAACACCCCGAGUCAACCGAUUCCUUGUAAUCAUUAGAAAGCCUGAUUAAAGGAUUCCGCUUAUCGGUUCCGGUCGCGGCAAAUGCGUCAUGACGUCACACACACGCUGCUUUGUUUUGGUUUAGAACGCAGCAAACAUGGCGCCGCCGAGGAAGAAGCGCACUGUUCGUUCACACCAAACGCGACGGUGCGACAAGAUCCCAUACAAAGUGCACGUAUAGACGUGUAUCGGGCGUUUUGAUUUGUCGCGCCACACUUUCGCAGUGCACAGGGGAGCGCGUUCACGAGGAUUUGUGCCGCGACAAAUUUGCUCGAGUUGAAAUAUUUAAACUUUGACGCGAAUUUCGCGUGAUGACAGCCAAUCAGCGUUCAAUAGCGUGACCACUGAGUGACAUGUGUAACGUAACAGCCAAUCAGCGUUCAACCGUCAAACUCAGUGCAGUGCAGUCCGGGUGAACUGCAGCAUGGAGGAGAAAGUGAUUUUUGCCGUUUGCGACUCCCGGAGCUCUAUAUAUAAUAGUAUAUAAUAUAAUAUAAUUGUAGAUAUAAUAUCACGGCCAACAGCUCUGUGCGCCACCGGAUGGCCGUAGCGUGGGGAGCUCUCAUAGGGAUUGGGCUUCUCGGGGUUUGUUUACCGGCGUUGCUAUGGUUUCCGGUCUUGUGUGUUCCAACGGUUUAGGCCCAUAUGUGUAUAUAUAUAUGGGUAGGCCCAUCUAAUAAAUCUCUGUCUAAUCAAUACUUCAUUCACUGCCUCUUCCAUGCGUCGGGUCCUCCGACGUCCCUCCCUCUUCCACAAAAGGUAAAGACAUGCAAUGGUGGUUAUCUUGUAGAGUUUCCAUUUCAUCAAAGGGGGGAACUACCUCCAAUAUGCUGAAACAUUUGGCUACACAGCAUGCAAUUCAAUUUGCAGGAAUGUCGUUGAUAUAUUUUGUUCAUGUCAGUUGAAUUUUGUUACAAGUUGAAUGCAAAUGAGCACUGUUAGUAGGCCUAUUCAAUUGAGUGAAGGGUUAGCCAUUGUUCUAUCAUCCUCGAAUGUGGAGUCAUGUUGAAAUAUGAAUAUAACUACAGGGUUUCAAUUUGUAAAGGUUGCAACUGUGCACACGUUAGAAACCAAACCAAAAAAAACAAAAAAAAAAUCUUAAGACGAAGAUACAUGCAUUAGCCUAGUUUUGGACAAAAAAAGAUUCCUAAAAAAAAGUAAUUAAGUAAUUAAUGUUUCCAUACCUUGCUGAAUAGGUGACCUCAAUGAAUGAAAAGGCAAUUUCCAUUUCUUUGUGCCCUCAAACUAUAAAGAUCGUUUUCUAGAUUUGUUUUACAAAAAUGUUUCUGUUUUGGCCAAUUGAAUAUGAAAUCAACUUCUCCUGAGGGGACGCACUCAUUCAUAAAUGUAACUGGGUCAUGUCAAGCUCGUUCUCUAAUUCCAUCAGCCAUCCUCCCCUUUACUCCAGCCCAAAUUAGAGCAGUACUUUCAAUUUUAAGUUAUUCAUCAAAUUGAAUACAGAGGGCAUACAUUAUCCUUGGCCAUAAAAUUGUGUGUGUGUUUGUGUUUGUGUGUGGGGGGGGAAACGGCGUGCGUCCAUGUGUGUGCGUGUGUGCCAGGGAUGGAAAUUAACUUUUUUCUUUUUCUACCAGCCACUGUGGCAGGUAGAUUUAAAAAUCGACCAGCCACUCAUCUUUUUUACCAGCCACUUUUUAUACGCUAUAUAUAUUUUUAAUUAUAUUUUCAAUAAAAAACAAAUUGACAUAUUAACAAUAAAACAACAUGCAUGGCUACACCAUCAUAACAUGUUAUUUACAUGUGACUGCAUACAAAUGUGUCCACAGACCUGGGGUCUCAUUUAUAACCGUUGCGUACGCACAAAACGGGGCUGAAAUUGGCGUACGUGACUUUCCACGCCAAGGUUGUGAUCUAUAAAAAACCAACUUGACGGGAGAAUGUGCGCAGCCCUAAGCAAACUCUGACCCAUGCGUACGCAUGGUUUAGAAGAAAAGGAGAAUUGGCGACACAGAUGGUGUGGUGGUGAACUGAAGUCAGACAGAAGAAUUGUAGAGUGAGAAGAAUGAUUGUCUUAUCAUCGCCCUUCAAAAAUUUAAUUUCAACCCGUAUCAUGCGUUAAAUCUAUGUAAUCAGAAUAAUUUAAGUCAACUGCAUUAUUUCUCAGUUAUAACUCCAGAAACAUCUCCUUAGAAUAGAAAUAAAAAAAAAUCUCUAUAUUUAAUCCCGUCACUCCAUACUAUCCACUGACGGCGCGACUACAUGGAAUAAAGCAUCUGUCCAACAUGUGUCAAUAACAUAAUAUUUGUAUGUGACACUGUAAACACAUAAUCAAAUGUCAAUUAAAUCCCAAGUGUGGAAAACCAAGCCACACUCAUCACAAUCGUUGUCCGUUACUCUUGAUGCUUUUCAUGGCAAAUCAGGUAUUGAAAAGGGGUUAUGUUCAAGAACAUUUUACUUGGGUGAUUACAAACUGAUUAUCCAAGGUGUUCUCGGUCAGUCUUAUUACCGUAACCCUAUAAAUAAAGAGGUGAGCGCCGUGGUAAUGCUGCACCAUAUGGCACUUCUGGGGGACCAUGAAAAUGGCAGGAUUCGGAGGGAGAGGGUCUUUAGGGACCAUAACGAUUUAUUGGUAGGCUACAUACCUACCUUUAUGUCAGACCACAUCUUUUUUAAUUCUGGGACUGUGCGCUCCGUGCUACUGACAGAGUUCACUGCUGCAGCAACAGUUGCCACUCACUCUGCUUUUUGUUGUUGGCGAUCCCAAUCCCGUGACCCCUAAACAAACCUACUUUUCGGGCCUCCAUCUCACCCACAAGUGUCUCCACUUCAACCUCCGUGAAAUUUCGCUUUUUUGCUUUUCUCAGUACUUCUGCCAUUGUUUCCGACAAGACAUAACACUUGCAUCUUCGUCUCUUUUAUAUGCAGAUCGCAUUCAUGAGGUCAUUUGCAUUGACCAUUUAUGGUUAAAAAUGGGCGUGUAUAUGGCGGAACGUGAAGCUGAUUCAGCUGCGCACACUUGUAGGCACUCUGUGAUUUAUAAAGCAAAGAUUGCGUACGGUGUGCGUACGCAGGGUUUUAUAAAUCUGAAUAUUUUUUGGCGCAUGCAAAACUUGGCUUUUGGUUGACGUACACUUUUAGUAACGAUCCCACGCACAGUUUUAUAAAUGAGACCCCAGGUAACUAACGUAUGAUAGUAAGCAUUAUUGGCCCUUAACACUAAUAUUCAGAAAAAACACUGCCUCAAAAGGCUAUUGGCUUAAGCAAUACAAGUAGAGGCAUAUACUUGAACUUUAUACCCUGAACUUUUAAACGUUGCAAACGUGCAAAAACAUAAUUAUAUAUAUGUGGCAUUCUGUCCAAUGCUGAAAAUAUAUCUGUGGCAUUAGGCCAAUGCUGUGGUAAUGUGUGUAAAGUAUGACCAAGUGUUUCUUUCUAUUCAAUAGUCUAGAUAGAACUUUAUCAAUCCCCUGUAGGAUAAAUUUGUUAAUGUUUGUCCCUAUAAAACAAUAAUGGUAAAAAAAUAAAUACAAAACACGACGGUAGCUGAGUAAGUCAAACCGUCCAAUCUGAAGGCUCUACUUAACCACUCCCCCUACUCACUUCCACCAUUGCAAAAAGAACAGAACUGAGUAGGGGAGGGCGUAGCCUAACUAGUUUGUGAACGACCCAGAGAAACGCAACGCAAAUUCAAUGUGAACAUUUAUGAGGCUUUAAUAAAAUCCUGGACGAUUUUAAAUUCCGCAAAACAUUUUUUAAAAGUGUCUCAAAAAGAGGGCAUGUCCGGGCAAAAGAGGACGUCUGGUUAACCUACGUACGGGAAACACAUUUGAUUCCUACCUGUAACACUGUUAAAUAGCGGCCCAAAUUGGUGGGCGCUAUCCUGGUAAUUUCUCUGCGUGAGAAAUACGAAGUAUGGCGUGUGAGCGUGUGCAAGGGUUGAAUUCAUGGGGCAAGCCCCAGGAAUCUUCCGGCUUCCAUGAAAGAGAACCAAACUAAUUCACACAAAAGCGUUCAUGCAAAUCUAGCAUUAAAGGUUAAUUUAAGGAAGUUCUCUCCAGUCACGCUGAAAGUAGUUCGCUAGUAGUAGCGCUUUAAAUUGCAGUGUCAGAGAAUUCUGAGAAAUCUGAAUGCUGACUAAAUUCUCAGAAUUCUGACACUGCAAAUUAUUGCACGCUAGUGAACUACAAAAAAAAAAACUUGAAAGUGGAACAUUGCUGCCAUCAUGGGAAAUUAAUGUAGCCUAGGCCUAUUGUAAGUAGCUUUCAAUUCCUUGUUCUUUUGUUGAACAUAUCCCCCACUAGAUUCCCCCACCCCCACGCAGAUUUUGUCCUGUAGAAACCUAUAUGCUGGAAACCGAUACGCCCUCUCAACCACAAAAUGUUUGAGUCACUUCUAUGGAAGUAAAUCUGUGCCAUCUGAGUUUUAAACUAAAAUGCCAUUGAAUUCUAAGCACUGAAUAAUUAUGCAUUGAAAUAAUUUAUCUGGAUUUGAAUUUCAACGUAAUCAACGUCCCCACGUUGAAUUUUUUAACGCAGAAUAUUUGAUUUUGAAUUUUUAACAUUGAAAAAUAAAGCUGAAUAGGAGUUAGAUUCAAAUCCAGAUACGAAGUGUAUGGAUUUACUUCCAUACACUUCUCCUUCGUCAUGCUUAACUGAUCAUGCCUCUCUUGUUGGUUACACAAAUCUUACCAUGGACACUCCCAGAACCAGCCAGACAAUUCACGUCUGUUAAUUUAUGAAUGGAAUUAUGAACGUGUCCCGCCUCCGAAAUAGCCUGGCUAUAGCCAUGCUGCCUUGGGCGCGAUUUCGUUUCGCGCUGCGAGGCAGCCUGGAUUCCAUGGAUCUGAUUUUCGCCUGAGAUGGGGAACCAAUCACAGAACGGGGAGGGACGGCAAGACGAUGACGACGUCUAUUCGACACGCCCAUCGUCUUCUUCCGAAUUGCUUGUGUCUCACGCAUGGACAUGAGAGCUGUGUUGGAAAUCGUUCCCUAUACACUCACUCACUAUUCCCGAUAUAGUGCACUAUAUAGGGAACGAACAAACGAGAAUUCGGACA